GUCAUCCAAAGGUGACGCAUUGGUAAAUAUUGCUGUAGCAUCUGGGGGUGGGAUGUCACUACAAAGUCCCACUUACAGAGACAUCAGAUGGAGCCGCAGCACAGGCAUGUGGUGGGAAGCGUUUGUAGGGACUUGACAGCUUGGAUGUCCCCAGCCUUCUGGCAUAUGUAAGAGCCACCCUGACCAAAGCAGGGUCGGGGAAGAAUCUCAGACACUUUAUUAGCACAGGGACCAGAGUGUGGGCAUUUGGGCCCUAGGCGAUGAGACUAGAAGAUUAGGUGGAAUCACAGUAAAUCUUGAGGGGAGUGGGGUUUGGUUUCCUCCUCCUUUAUCUCCUCCUCCUCCUCCUCUUUCUUACCUCCCUCCUUCUCUUUCUUUCCUUUUUUAUCUUUUAUUACUAGCAUGUCCUUUGCCGGUGUGAGAAGGGAGAAAGAAUGAAAUUUACAGGGUACCACUAUAUGCCAGACACUUCCUACAGGCAUCACCUCUUUUGAGCCUCAGAAUGAUUUUUCAAGAUAGACAGUAUCAUCCCCAUUUUGUAGAUGGGAAAACCAAGGCCCAGGAAGUAUAGGUGACUUGUUUAGGAUUGUAAGAAACAAAAUGGCUGAGCUGGGGUUUGAAAUCAGGGCCCAGGAAUGAAAUUACCAGAGUGUGACUGAAGGCCGGUGCACAUGCACCAAGUGAUUUUGAGAGAUGAUGCAGUGCACUUGAGCAAGCACUUGGCAACCGGUGCUGCCAAAAACAGAACAUGGGGUCAAGACUCGUCCUGUGGGUAAGAAAUGGAAUUCUUGCCGUGUCCACACUGUGGAAGUGGUUUGUGAAAGUGGUUUUAUCCCAGACAUUACUGUUUGUUUGUUUUAAAUUUCAGUUGAUCGGGUAAGCAAGGUUCUAAAUGAAUGUUAGGAGCUUUUUUUCAGGGAGCAAAGCACAGUUGGUGGUAGUGCCCGGGAAGGCAUUCUUAGUGGAAUUUUCUUCAGUUUCAAUUCUGCCCGUUUCUAGAUGGUUCCUCCAGGUCUGCGCCUCAGCCUCUCUCCUCAGUGGAGCGAUGCUGGAUGCCUUUCCUCUGACUGGGAGGAACUCCGUCUCUGUUCCACUCUGCAGUCGGCUGGAGCACCAUAGCCAGAGGACUGGAGGGAUCUGUGCCCUGGCCGGUGAGAUCUGCCUCCGGCGAGCAGGUGAGGAUCCUGAGGCCCAGAGAUGGACAAUAGCUGGUCCAAAAUCAUACUUCUAGCGUAUGGCAGAAAGAGGGCUGACCACAUCAUGUGCCCUGCCUUCUGCCCCUUUGAAGAACACCCAGGCCUCUGCUUUGCUCAUCAUCACAGCAGAGGCUUUUCUUGGUUCAAACAGGAGUCAUGGGCAAGGCCAAGCAGAGAAGCAGGGCAGUUGUCGGGAGAAUUCCGGCUGGAGUGGGCUCAGUGCCCAAGCCAGCAGCCCGUGAGAGGCAGGAAUGCAGUGGAACGUGACAUCUGCUGCCCAACCACGUCCCCAGGCUGCUCUCCCUUGCCCAGCUGCUUAGGAGAAGGAAGGAAACUAGCAUUUUCCCACUGCCAUUGUGUAUCUGACAGGCUCAUCAAUCUCAGCUGAGCUCAUCUUCCUAACCUCUCAAGCUGGUUAUCGCUCAUCGUUUACAGAAAAGGAAAAGGAAGAGGAGAUUCAGAAGUGUGCAAUGGCACAGGCAGGGCAGAGCCCACGUUCCAGCUCCUGCUCCUUUCACAGCACCAGAUUGCUCCCACUGGCCCAGUCACAGUAUCUCCAGCAGCAUCUGGCUUAUCUUUGAUCAGCGCUGCACGUGGCUGCAGCUCCCGGCUCUACGGGCCUGAAGAAAAGAGAAGCUCGAGCCAAGGCUCCUUCCCAGUUCCAGUACCCUUUGCUGAUGCCCCGCCUUUCACCGCCCUGCCCUCAGUGCCCUGGGGGUAGCCUGCCCUGGUGCCAGCCCCGCAGGCUCAGCCUGAACCACAAUAGCUGGAAGGGCCUCUUGGAGCAAGUACUUCCUGAAGUGCCCAAAACAGCCACUGUCCCUGCAGAGGAGGAACAAUCACGGCUUCCGUGCUUCUUCAGGGCCUCCUGGCAGAGCUGCUGGGCCUGCCUGUGAGCUGGGUUCAGGCUCCAGGCUCCAGGAUAGACAGGCAGAUGACAAGACUCAAAAGCUCAGACUGCUCAAAAGCCUAAGGAGCCUAGGACAGAGCUCAGGAUAUUUCUUUUCCACAUUGAAGCUGGAGGAAAAAUUCUGGGUUCUCACUUUUCCUGAGCUUUCCUGUAAACCUACUGCUGCAUGUUUGAUUUUUGUAUUUCUGUCAUCUUUCCUAAGGCUUUUUAAACAAAGAGGGAGAAAAAGGAAAAAAAAAAAACCCAAAGGAAAAAAUUGAUUCUGGAAUCAGAUUAUACACUCAGUUAUUUAUUCAGCAACACUGAAUGAGUCUUGCUAUGUGCCAACCACAAUGAGGUACAAAAAAAGUAUCAUUCAGUAUUCACUUGCUUAUGUUUUUAUCUACUCAUUUCAUAAUCACGACAGAGACCCUGCCAGGUUCCAGGCAUUUGGAUGUGGCAAUGCCUGGGCAGCUUGGACCCUGCCCAGGGUGGGAGGUGACGAGUAAACCAGCAGCUGAAAUACCCGGUUUAUGUGGUGAGGGCCGGGCAGGGAGGUGCAGGGCGAUGAGGGGCAAGCGCAGGAGAGGCGGCAGACCAUGCCCAAGGGUCCUGGAGGGUGCCAGGAGGGAGCCCGCGGGAAGAGAAAGUGCAGCUGUGGGGUGGGGGGCGAUGUAUAGGAAAGGAUAGUGGCCUUUGGAAGGUUGAGGUGAAAGGAAUGCAGGUUUUUCCAAGGAACAUAGGGGAGGUACAUGUGGCUGGAUAGUGAGAGUGGUAAUAGUCCUCGGUGGUCACGACUCCUGCCUUGGGUUAGAAUCCUGGCUGGGCCACUUAUUACUGUGUGUCCUCCACCAAGCCACCAACUUUUCUGUAAUUCACUUUUCUUGUCUGAAAAAUGGACAGGAUGCCAAUAAUAGUACAUACUUCAUAGGUUGUGUUAAAUAUUAUAAUGAAUGCUCAACUGUACCCAUCACGCAGUGUUAUAGAUGUGUCUACUGUGACUAGGUGGGAGUGAUGGACAGGAAGCUUGGAGAAGUGGGCAAACCCACAUACCUGGAAUGAGCCCUGACCAUGAGCCAGGCGCUAGCAAGCCAAGCCGGACCAGGAGGACUCAGCUCCUACCCACAGGGAACUUGCAGUACUGGGUUGUCAAAGACUUUGAUCUGGGAUCAGAGAGAUGUGGAUUCCAUUCUCAUCUCAUCUGUGUGAUUGUGGGCCAAUUAUUUACCCUCUUUGAGCCUCACUUUUCUCACCUGUAAAAUGAGCAAAGUGAUAGUGCCUUCCUUAUAGGAUGAGGGUGAGUAUUACCUGAGAUAAUAUGUGCAAAGUAAUAGUAAUAGAAAAAAGUGCUAGACAAAUGAUAACUAUUAUGACAGUUGGUGUAGGAUGAAACAGAGAUAACUUUCACACAGGGAGAAUAUCUUAUCGUAACCUUGGUGAUGAUGCCCUUGGAGACCGUGGCUACCUCUCAGAGGCAUCCCAUUGCUCUAGAAUAAAGAUGUGCUUAAUUCACUGGC